rnacentral:lncRNA from 1 species
UUGCAGUCAGUUAUACUUUACUAUCUACUAUCCAAAACACCAACAAAUCUUUGAUCGAUCACACAGCAGCUCGCUUCACUGUUGAUACAUAUCGUGUGGAUACAGCUCGGCUCGGUUCGACUCGGCUACGAAGUGAAGGCCGUAGUCAAGACAACCUCCUGUCUUGACUCGGUAUGCGAUUUACUUUGUAUCGUUUGAUGAACAUAUUAAGUUUGUAUGUUUUCUGUUUGGUUGCUUGGCCCAUCAUUGAUGAAGCCCAUGACCAGGCCCAACACAUGUGACGAAAUCACAUGUGAUGAAAACCAAAUAGGACGAAAUCCAUAAGUGGUGAAAACACUUAUGGAUGAAAACCAAAUAGGACGAAAUCACCUGAUUUCGUCCAUAUUCUUGAUUUCGUCCAUGUGUUUUCGUGGGUCUUGAUUUCGUGGACCACUUUACUAUAUAAACACAGACAACAGACAUAACAAAAAAGGGACAAGUCUGAAUAGAUUUGAGAGUGAACACUGUAAACACAACACACACUGAGAGUUUAUGAGAGCAUCUUGUAAACAUUGUAUUGUAACCGUUUCAUAGCAUUAAUACAAUGGAGUGUUAAUCGUU